rnacentral:tRNA from 3 species
GGGGUCGUGGUGUAGCCUGGUUUAACACGUCGCCCUGUCAAGGCGAAGACCGCGGGUUCAAAUCCCGUCGACCCCGCCA